rnacentral:rRNA from 1 species
GAUGAACGCUGGCGGCGUGCUUAACACAUGCAAGUCGAACGGAAAGGCUCCUGCUUGCAGGGGUACUCGAGUGGCGAACGGGUGAGUAACACGUGGGUGAUCUGCCCUGCACUUCGGUAUAAGCCUGGGAAACUGGUCUAAUACCGGAUAGGACUAUGGUUUGCAUGCCAUUGUGGAAAGUUUUUCGGUGUGGGAUGAUCUCGCGGCCUAUCAGCUUGUUGGUGGGGUAAUGGCCUACCAAGGCGUCGACGGGUAGCCGGCCUGAGAGGGUGUACGGCCACAUUGGGACUGAGAGACGGCCCAGACUCCUACGGGAGGCAGCAGUGGGGAAUAUUGCACAAUGGGCGCAAGCCUGAGGCAGCGACGCUGGGUGGGGGAUGACGGCCUUCGGGUUGUAAACUCCUUUCGCUAGGGACGAAGCGGAAGUGACGGUACCUGGAGAAGAAGCACCGGCUAACUACGUG